AGUGAACGCUGGCGGUCGGCCUAACACAUGCAAGUCGAACGGCAGCACAGUAAGAGCUUGCUCUUACGGGUGGCGAGUGGCGGACGGGUGAGGAAUACAUCGGAAUCUACUUUUUCGGGGGGGAUAACGUAGGGAAACUUACGCUAAUACCGCAUACGACCUACGGGUGAAAGCAGGGGAGCUUCGGACCUUGCGCGAUUGAAUGAGCCGAUGUCGGAUUAGCUAGUUGGCGGGGUAAAGGCCCACCAAGGCGACGAUCCGUAGCUGGUCUGAGAGGAUGAUCAGCCACACUGGAACUGAGACACGGUCCAGACUCCUACGGGAGGCAGCAGUGGGGAAUAUUGGACAAUGGGCGCAAGCCUGAUCCAGCCAUACCGCGUGGGUGAAGAAGGCCUUCGGGUCGUAAAGCCCUUUUGUUGGGAAAGAAAAGCAGCAGGUUAAUCCCCCGCUGUUCUGACGGUACCCAAAGAAUAAGCACCGGCUAACUUCGUG
rnacentral:rRNA from 1 species